rnacentral:rRNA from 1 species
GUCUUAUUGAAAAUAAUUUUAAGUCUAAUCUGCUCAAUGAAAAUUUUAAAUAGCUGCAGUAUUUAUAACUGUACAAAGGUAGCAUAAUAAUUAGUUUUUUAAUUAAAAACUAGAAUGAAAGAUUUAAUGAAAUAUAAUCUGUAUCAAAUUUAAAAAAUAAAAUUUUUUUUUAAAUAAAAAAAUUUAAAUUUUAUUUAAAGACGAGAAGACCCUAUAGAAUUUAAAUUAUAAUUUUAUAAAUAAAUAAAUUUUUAUAAUUUUAAUUGGGGAAAUUUUAAAAUUUAAAAAAUUUUUAAUUUAAUAAACAAUUAUUUUUGAAUAAAAUAUUUUUUUUUAAAAAAAUAAAUUAAAUUACCUUAGGGAUAACAGCAUAAUUUUUUUAAAAAGUUCUCAUUUAUAAAAAAGUUUAU